ensembl:lncRNA ZNF503-AS1 ZNF503 antisense RNA 1
UUCCUGGAGUUGUGGUGGGUUUCCGGGUGUCAGCAGCGCCCCUGAUUUUGUUGCCCUUUGGUGGCCCCGGGUCUCCCAGGUGUUGGCCGGGCUCCUACGGAGGCUGCCUGCGGCCUGCCCUGCCCCCACUGCUCAGUGUAGUCCUUUUCCUGGUUGGAGGCCCACGGCCGGCUAGAUUUCGACCUGGACCCUCUCAUCUGCCCUUCUCCACCGAGCAGGUGGAAGAGUGGUGGCGGGAAUGCGCCAGCUCUGACCUCCCUGCGGUGCGCGCUGCGGGGCUGGGAGCAACUGUGCUGGGUUCUGAGGCCCAUGCGGGUGCCUUCUUGGAGCCGCGCCAGCACCAGAAAUCGCCCGGGCUCGGAGUCCCAAUUAGAGGCGAUGGUAUCGUUUUACAUUCCUAGCAUCAGUGUACGAGGCCCAGUUCCUCCACAUCCUCGCCAACACGUGUACUUUAAUCAGCAUUUAAUGACCCAGUCGAAAAUUCAUUGUUUGGACCCAAGCACUGGUGGGAAAGGCAGGAGGGGAGGCCUGCCUUCCUUCCUCCCUCCCGAGCCCUACAGCAGGCCAUGGAGUGGUGAGCGAGUUCGUACAGUGCCAACCACAUUCCCAGAAACUUCCAGCAGAGGUUAAUCCUGCUCCUCUCAGGUGGGCUUGGCCCAUUCUCUAGACUUUGGAAGGUAAUGUUCUAUAGAGGCCUGUUCUGAAGCUUUACCAGGUCAAACCGGAGAAGAACCCAACAAGUAACUCAUCCCAGCCUAACUAUUCUUCAAGGGCAAUCAACCUACAGCAUCCAAGCACAGAGAAAUCAAAUCCAUGGAGAAUCUUCAAAUUAGGCUCAGAAUCCAUUUGGGUCAAUGAAUUUACUGUUAUUAAGAUCUUAGUUGUGUUCAACCAUGAUUUGACAUACCUUAGAGUGAGAAGAUAUUCUUCCUGGCCUCAGACUAGUUGAAGGUAGAGAGAGAGACAGGCCCUUGGGUGUGGGGAGACCUCUCCUGGGAUAAUACACACAAAAAACCAAGAGCUGCUCACUGUGGUGCAGGAGACAGCAGGGCCUGAAGCCAGAGGCUCUGUGUCCUUGAAUACAAUGUUUUACUCCUCUGACCCCUGUUACUGUGAUUUGGAGAGGCAGACAAUAUAGGAUGGGCUUUGCAGGCAGGGAGGUCCAGUUAUAAUCCCAGCUCUUACUAAGUUGGGUAAGACUCACUCUGAGACUUAGUUUCUUCUGUCAUCUCUCAAUAGAAUCAUAAAGGUACUUUCCUCUUAGUGUUGUUUUAAAAUUCAGUAAAAUAAUGCAGGCUUAGCACAGGGUCUGAUGUAAAUUUUCAAUGAAUUAUCGUUGUCAAUAUUGUUCUGGAAAACAAGAGGGCAUAUUAGAAGAUCAAAAGUACUGCCAAGCAUUGAAGUGCCAAUUCUAGAUCCAGUCUCAGCCCUCUGAGAAUGGAUAUCAUUGUUUUCAAGCCAUUCAGAAACCAAUGUGAAUUGAACACCUAGUAUGAGCUCUCUGAGGGAAGAGCCAAGUCAUGCAUUUUUUAUCUUAAGGGGUCUUCAAUACCUCUAGCCCAAAACAGUAUCUCCAUCAGGAUUCUUCUCUGAUAGUGUUCAUUUCUUUUUUCUCAAUGGAUGCCUUAAAAAAAAAAUCCUACAAGGAAACCUGUACUCCUCAAAUACACCACUCAGGUGACCAUUAAAUCAUUUACAUUG